GGCGGAUGAGCCAAGUUAUGAUGG
rnacentral:tRNA from 1 species